rnacentral:rRNA from 1 species
UAGGGAAUCUUCGGCAAUGGGGGGAACCCUGACCGAGCAACGCCGCGUGAGUGAAGAAGGUUUUCGGAUCGUAAAGCUCUGUUGUUAAGGAAGAACGAGUGUGAGAAUGGAAAGUUCAUGCUGUGACGGUACUUAACCAGAAAGGGACGGCUAACUACGUGCCAGCAGCCGCGGUAAUACGUAGGUCACGAGCGUUGUCCGGAUUUAUUGGGCGUAAAGCGAGCGCAGGCGGUUAGAAAAGUCUGAAGUGAAAGGCAGUGGCUCAACCAUUGUAGGCUUUGGAAACUGUUUAACUUGAGUGCAGAAGGGGAGAGUGGAAUUCCAUGUGUAGUGGUGAAAUGCGUAGAUAUAUGGAGGAACACCGGUGGCGAAAGCGGCUCUCUGGUCUGUAACUGACGCUGAGGCUCGAAAGCGUGGGGAGCGAACAGG